rnacentral:rRNA from 1 species
AGUGAACGCUGGCGGUAGGCCUAACACAUGCAAGUCGAACGGCAGCACAGUAAGAGCUUGCUCUUACGGGUGGCGAGUGGCGGACGGGUGAGGAAUACAUCGGAAUCUACUUUUUCGUGGGGGAUAACGUAGGGAAACUUACGCUAAUACCGCAUACGACCUACGGGUGAAAGCAGGGGAUCUUCGGACCUUGCGCGAUUGAAUGAGCCGAUGUCGGAUUAGCUAGUUGGCGGGGUAAAGGCCCACCAAGGCGACGAUCCGUAGCUGGUCUGAGGAGAUGAUCAGCCACACUGGAACUGAGACACGGUCCAGACUCCUACGGGAGGCAGCAGUGGGGAAUAUUGGACAAUGGGCGCAAGCCUGCUCCAGCCAUACCGCGUGGGUGAAGAAGGCCUUCGGGUUGUAAAGCCCUUUUGUUGGGAAAGAAAAGCAGCAGGUUAAUACCCCGCUGUUCUGACGGUACCCAAAGAAUAAGCACCGGCUAACUUCGUG